GAUGAACGCUGGCGGCGUGCCUAAUACAUGCAAGUCGAGCGAACAGACGAGGAGCUUGCUCCUCUGACGUUAGCGGCGGACGGGUGAGUAACACGUGGAUAACCUACCUAUAAGACUGGGAUAACUUCGGGAAACCGGAGCUAAUACCGGAUAAUAUAUUGAACCGCAUGGUUCAAUAGUGAAAGACGGUUUUGCUGUCACUUAUAGAUGGAUCCGCGCCGCAGUAGCUAGUUGGUAAGGUAACGGCUUACCAAGGCAACGAUGCGUAGCCGACCUGAGAGGGUGAACGGCCACACUGGAACUGAGACACGGUCCAGACUCCUACGGGAGGCAGCAGUAGGGAAUCUUCCGCAAUGGGCGAAAGCCUGACGGAGCAACGCCGCGUGAGUGAUGAAGGUCUUCGGAUCGUAAAACUCUGUUAUUAGGGAAGAACAAAUGUGUAAGUAACUAUGCACGUCUUGACGGUACCUAAUCAGAAAGCCACGGCUAACUACGUG
rnacentral:rRNA from 1 species